rnacentral:rRNA from 1 species
UACGUAGGGGGCUAGCGUUGUCCGGAAUCAUUGGGCGUAAAGAGCGUGUAGGCGGCUCGAUAAGUCCGCUGUGAAAGUCCAGGGCUCAACCCUGGGAUGCCGGUGGAUACUGUCGGGCUCGAGUCCGGAAGAGGCGAGUGGAAUUCCUGGUGUAGCGGUGAAAUGCGCAGAUAUCAGGAGGAACACCAAUGGCGAAGGCAGCUCGCUGGGACGGUACUGACGCUGAGGCGCGAAAGCGUGGGGAGCGAACAGG